UACGUAGGUGGCAAGCGUUGUCCGGAUUUAUUGGGCGUAAAGAGCGUGUAGGCGGCCAUACAGGUCAGCUGUGAAAACUCGAGGCUCAACCUCGAGACGUCGGUUGAAACCGUAUGGCUAGAGUCCGGAAGAGGAGAGUGGAAUUCCCGGUGUAGCGGUGAAAUGCGCAGAUAUCGGGAAGAACACCCAUGGCGAAGGCAGCUCUCUGGGACGGUACUGACGCUGAGACGCGAAAGCGUGGGGAGCGAACAGG
rnacentral:rRNA from 1 species